AGUGAUGCAAUAAUAUAUUAUCAGCUCGAGUAGUCACUGUGGUACCAUAUGAAGCAGUUUGCAAUACGUCAGAAAGUGUGGAACUGACAUGUGUUUAUAAGGACAUAUAUAUUCAAACAGGUUGGACAGUUUCAUGGAUUCAUAAGCUAAAAAGCAUUUUUAUUCGAUCACCCUCCUCGAAAAUGAAUGGCAAUGUUUCCACAAUGACAAUAAAUUUCUGCGAUUACAAAGAUACCGGAACGUACAGCUGCAAAUGGAACUCUGGAGAGAAAGUGUACAAGUCAACUGCAAAAAUAACUGUUCAUGGUCUUCCAGUAUUCUCGUAUACAGACAUAGUCGUUUUGAACAAAUCAAGUAUAAGACUUAAUGUUUACUUUUAUUCCGAACCUGAACCAAUUCAAAUAAAGUGGUUAUUCAAUAGCAAAACAAUUCAGCAUCCGAGUACUUCACCGUUAAACAGACAAUACGUCAAUCUGACUAUCUACAACAAAGUCAUCUCUGUAGAAGGAUUUAAAGCAGCCAUGUUGUUAACUACUGCACCAAAUCAUUCGGAUUGUAUAUACACUUGUUCAGUACGAAAUCAUUUUGGUAUAAUAGAAGCUAACUUUCAAGAAAAAGAAGUUUUAGAUGCUAUCCGCAUUUGGGAAAAUGAAACAAAAGGAGGAAAUGAUAUGGAAAUUAAAAGUCAACUGACAUAUAUUUAUGGAACGGUCGGUGCUUUUGCUGUUCUUACAAUUAUUGGUGUAAUUAACGUUGUAGUAUAUCGGACACAGCUAAUGAAGAGAGUAUCCCAAGAUAAGUAUAAAUUUUGAGUUUCAGUGUUUCAUUCCACAGAAUGAAUUCAGUAUAAAGCAGGGUAAAGUAGGCUUGCAAUAUAUAUGUAUAUACUGCGAUAUUUAACUCAACAGGUACAACAAAACUACACACCAAAGAGACGCCAAACUUAUUGAUUUUAUCAUCCUUUUCACCUUUUAUCUAAAUCCAUUACUUUCUGAACUGAGAGUAAAGGCCUUAAGAUAUCGAAUACACUUGUAAACCAAAUUCAAUAUUGAUGUGUCCUUGUACAUGCAGGAUUAACUCGUAUCCGUUGCUUAUAAAUAAGAUUAGAUGUAUUAUUGAUAUAUCUAUGUGACAAUGUGUGGCACGAAAAUAUAUCUCGAGAUCACUUGAAAGUCUUCAAAAAGCAUAUCAAAGGUCAGCUAAAAAUCAGAACAAAAAAUGUAUUUCUUAAAAGUUAGGUCAGGACCGAAACGUUAAAACACAAAUAAAACAAAUGUACCAUAUCCCCUUAUUUUAAAUAGUUUUAUAUCUUCAGUAAUAUUACACUUCCAAUUGAACACUAGUACAGACAUCACAUACCCUUUUCCUGCCUUUGUCUCUCUUCCUUGCAUAGAAGUAUAUAUCCAAAUAAGAUAGUUACACAAUUUAUACAAAUCGUUCUUGAAUUAUCCUUGUGUAACCUAAUGUGAUGUCCGGUCAAUUGCUUAUUUACAGGAAACUUAACUUUACAUUGCUGAUGCAAAUUGUAUCAAUGAUUUUAUGAUUUUCACAUUCAAGCUAAAGGUAAUUUUACAAGCAAGGAACACGAACGUAUUUAGUGCUACAUCGCAAAAAAAAGCUCGUCUAAAAUGUUCAUUCUUGAAAGCUGAAUUAAUAUCAUGACUUAUAUGAAGAGUGUCUUAAGAUUUGUUGGGUAAUCCCUAGUGGCACUUCUUCUAGCUAUAAGAGUAUUAAACAAAACCAAGAAACAUUGUUCAAAAACUCCCAUUACCGUAACAUUACUUGAGCUAAAUCAAGUGAAACUGAUAGGUUCAGUAACAAUAUAAGACUUGUCUGUGUCAAUACAGCUGACAGUGGAUUACUAUUUCCAAACUUUUACCCGCACCAUUGUCGGUACAUUACUUUUAAGGUUGCAAUACUUUCGUGGAAUGCUAACUAUUUCAUACAUGUUGAACCAUUUUAUGUUUUUAAAACAUACAGUUAGAAAACAGCUCAAUCGUAUAAGUUUUAGUAUUCCAAAGUUAUAUUGGGCUUCAAUCGCUGUCAAGCUUAAUGUAGUUUGAUGAAAGGUUUUCCAGACAAGUGGCAUAUGCAAAACCAUACCGGUAUUAUACCAUUACACUAUAGAUCAGUAUCACACUUAAUGGACUCUCAUUGUUGGAAAGCACAAUCUAUUAAGUAGCCUCAGCUUUAGUAUUGCCAUUAUUUAAAUCUAUGGCAAGCCGUUUUACUAUUUAU